GGCCGUGUGCCCGAGUGGACCAAGGGGGCGCAUUGCAAAUGCGCUUGCGUCAGCAAUCGUGGGUUCGAAUCCCACCGCGGCCU
rnacentral:tRNA from 2 species